AGCGAACGCUGGCGGCGUGCCUAACACAUGCAAGUCGAACGGUUCUGUUGGGGGCUUGCUCUCGACAGAGUAGUGGCAAACGGGUGAGUAACACGUGGGUAAUCUUCCUUCGAGUGAGGAAUAACUUCGGGAAACCGGAGCUAAUACUGCAUAACAUCUUGGAACGGCAGUUUCAAGAUCAAAGGGGGCGCAAGCUCCCGCUUGAAGUUGAGCUCGCGUCCUAUCAGCUAGUUGGUGAGGUAAUGGCUCACCAAGGCUCCGACGGGUAGCCGGCCUGAGAGGGUGGCCGGCCACACUGGGACUGAGACACGGCCCAGACUCCUACGGGAGGCAGCAGUGGGGAAUAUUGCGCAAUGGACGAAAGUCUGACGCAGCGACGCCGCGUGGGUGAUGAAGGCCUUCGGGUCGUAAAGCCCUGUUGAGGGAGAGAAAGCUACUGUCGGUUAAUACCCGGUCAGUGGUGGAUAGGUAUCCCUAGAGAAAGCACCGGCUAACUACGUGCC
rnacentral:rRNA from 1 species